rnacentral:rRNA from 1 species
CACGUAGGGUGCGAGCGUUGUCCGGAAUUAUUGGGCGUAAAGAGCUCGUAGGCGGUGUGUCGCGUCGGCCGUGAAAACCUGCAGCUUAACUGUGGGCUUGCGGUCGAUACGGGCAUCACUGGAGUUCGGCAGGGGAGACUGGAAUUCCUGGUGUAGCGGUGAAAUGCGCAGAUAUCAGGAGGAACACCUGAGGUGAAGACGGGUUGCUGGGCCGACACUGACGCUGAUGCGCGAAAGCCAGGGGAGCAAACGGG